AGUGGCUUGAAGGUCUUUUUAAAUUGUUGUUGUUAUGUUUUUAUUUUAUUUUACUUUAUUUUUAAAUAGAGAUGAGGUCUUGCUAUGUUGUCCAGGCUGGUCUCAAACUCCUGGGCUCAAGCAGCUCGCCUGUCUUGGCCUCCCAAAGUGCAGGGAUUGCAGAUGUGAGCCACCAUGCUUGGCCCUUGCUAUAUUUUAAAUAGUUAAAAAUACUGUUUUUGUUUUUUUGUUUUUCCUUGCUGAAUACUUGGGAAAAUUGGUUUGUGUCUGUGGCAAAGGAAUUCAACAAUACUUUCAUUUUCAGGUCAGACUAUUUUAAGAAAAUAGAAGACUAUCAUUUACAGCUGGUAUGGCCCUGUGGUGGUGUGGACCCAGACUUCAAACACAGAUGAAGAUCGAAAACUGAUAUCCCGCAUCUGAUAUCAGGAUGAGUUGCAGAAAAACUCCUCAGACACCGGAUUAAAGAAGGAAGAGGUUUUUUAUUUGUCCGGGAGCGUCGGCAGACUCGCGUCUUAAGAGCCGAGCUCCCCGAAAAAGAAAUUCCUAGCCCUUUUAAGGCCUUACAACUCUAAGGAGUCUACGUGAAAGAGUCAUAAUAGAUCAAACAAAUUAAGAAUUCAGAGCCCAAUCCUAACUUCAAGCCAAGAAGUAAAAAAAGGAAGAAAAAAUCAAGACGCUCAGAACAGAACUCCAGCAAUAUUGAACCCAGACAGAGCUUCACUGUGUUGCCCAGGCUAGAGGGUAGUGGCGUGAUCAAGGCUCACUGCAGACUCAACCUCCUAGGCUCAAGUAUAUUCUCCUCAGCUUCCAGUAUAUUCUCCUGCAAGAACAUACCACCCCACACCUGGCUAAUUUUAAAAUGUUUUGUAGAGACAGGGUCCCACUAUGUUGUUCAGGCUGGUCUCAAACUCCUGGCCUUAAGUGAUCCUCCUGCCUCAGCCUCCCAAAGUGCUGGGAUUAUAGGCAUGAGCCACCACAUCUAGCCACAAAACUUGUUUAGAGAAAAAAUUGUUAUGAUGAUGUGAAUAAUUGGGUCCACAAUAUUUCCUUUUAGAAAGAAAAUUGGCCAGGCGCGGUGGCUCACGCCUGUAAUCCUAGCACUUUGGAAGGUCGAGGUGGGCAGAUCACCUGAAGUCGGGAGUUCGAGACCAGCCUGACCAACAUGGAGAAACCCCGUCUCUACUCAAAAUACAAAAAAUUAGCCGGGC
rnacentral:lncRNA from 1 species